rnacentral:rRNA from 1 species
AUUGAACGCUGGCGGCAGGCUUAACACAUGCAAGUCGAGCGGGGGAUGUUGCUUCGGUAACUGACCUAGCGGCGGACGGGUGAGUAAUGCUUAGGAAUCUGCCUAUUAGUGGGGGACAACAUUCCGAAAGGAAUGCUAAUACCGCAUACGCCCUAUGGGGGAAAGCAGGGGAUCUUCGGACCUUGCGAUAAUAGAUGAGCCUAAGUCAGAUUAGCUAGUUGGUGGAGUAAAGGCCUACCAAGGCGACGAACUGUAGCGGGUCUGAGAGGAUGAUGCGCCACACAGGGGCUUAGUCCCGGACCAGACUCCAACGGGCGGCAGCAGUGGGGAAUAUUGGACAAUGGGCGGAAGCCUAAUCCAGCGAUGCCGCGUGUGUGAAGAAGGCCUUUUGGUUGUAAAGCACUUUAAGCGAGGAGGAGGCUACCGAGACUAAUACUCUUGGAUAGUGGACGUUACUCGCAGAAUAAGCACCGGCUAACUCUGUGCCAGCCGCCGCUGUAACAC